rnacentral:rRNA from 1 species
GACGAACGCUGGCGGCGUGCUUAACACAUGCAAGUCGAACGGAAAGGCCCUGCUUUUGUGGGGUGCUCGAGUGGCGAACGGGUGAGUAACACGUGAGUAACCUGCCCUUGACUUUGGGAUAACUUCAGGAAACUGGGGCUAAUACCGGAUAGGAGCUCCUGCUGCAUGGUGGGGGUUGGAAAGUUUCGGCGGUUGGGGAUGGACUCGCGGCUUAUCAGCUUGUUGGUGGGGUAGUGGCUUACCAAGGCUUUGACGGGUAGCCGGCCUGAGAGGGUGACCGGCCACAUUGGGACUGAGAUACGGCACAGACUCCUACGGGAGGCAGCAGUGGGGAAGAGUGCACAAUGGGCGGAAGCCUGAUGCAGCAACGCCGCGUGCGGGAUGACGGCCUUCGGGUUGUAAACCGCUUUCGCCUGUGACGAAGCGUGAGUGACGGUAAUGGGUAAAGAAGCCCCGGCUAACUACGUG